rnacentral:rRNA from 1 species
AGCUCUCGCUAUUAGAUGAGCCUAAGUCGGAUUAGCUGGUUGGUGGGGUAAAGGCCUACCAAGGCGACGAUCUGUAGCUGGUCUGAGAGGAUGAUCAGCCACACUGGGACUGAGACACGGCCCAGACUCCUACGGGAGGCAGCAGUGGGGAAUAUUGGACAAUGGGCGAAAGCCUGAUCCAGCCAUGCCGCGUGUGUGAAGAAGGCCUUUUGGUUGUAAAGCACUUUAAGUGGGGAGGAAAAGCUUAUGGUUAAUACCCAUAAGCCCUGGCGUUACCCACAGAAUAAGCACCGGCUAACUCUGUGCCAGCAGCCGCGGUAAUACAGAGGGUGCAAGCGUUAAUCGGAAUUACUGGGCGUAAAGCGCGCGUAGGUGGUUAUUUAAGUCAGAUGUGAAAGCCCCGGGCUUAACCUGGGAACUGCAUCUGAUACUGGAUAACUAGAGUAGGUGAGAGGGGAGUAGAAUUCCAGGUGUAGCGGUGAAAUGCGUAGAGAUCUGGAGGAAUACCGAUGGCGAAGGCAGCUCCCUGGCAUCAUACUGACACUGAGGUGCGAAAGCGUGGGUAGCAAACAGGAUUAGAUACCCUGGUAGUCCACGCCGUAAACGAUGUCUACCAGUCGUUGGGUCUUUUAAAGACUUAGUGACGCAGUUAACGCAAUAAGUAGACCGCCUGGGGAGUACGGCCGC